rnacentral:rRNA from 1 species
UUAGACUCGUGGCGGAAAGCUUAGUAACACGUGGCCAAACUACCCUGUGGAUCGGGACAACCUCGGGAAACUGAGGCUAAUUCCGAAUACCGCUCCCANACUGGAAUGGCGGGAGCUGGAAACGCUCCGGCGCCACAGGAUGUGGCUGCGGCCGAUUAGGUAGACUGUGGGGUAACGGCCCACCGUGCCCAUAAUCGGUACGGGUCAUGAAAGUGAGAGCCCGGAUACGGAAUCUGAUACCAGAUUCCGGGCCCUACAGGGCGCANCAAGCGCGAAACCUUUACNCUGCACGACAGUGCGAUUGGGGGACUCCGAGUGCGAGGGCAUACAGUCCUCGCUUUUCUGUACCGUANGGUGGUACAGGAACAAGUGCUGGGCAAGACCGGUNCCNGCCGCCNCGGUUAUACCGGCGGCACGAGUGA